UAGGGAAUCUUCGGCAAUGGACGAAAGUCUGACCGAGCAACGCCGCGUGAGUGAAGAAGGUUUUCGGAUCGUAAAACUCUGUUGUUAGAGAAGAACAAGGACGUUAGUAACUGAACGUCCCCUGACGGUAUCUAACCAGAAAGCCACGGCUAACUACGUGCCAGCAGCCGCGGUAAUACGUAGGUGGCAAGCGUUGUCCGGAUUUAUUGGGCGUAAAGCGAGCGCAGGCGGUUUCUUAAGUCUGAUGUGAAAGCCCCCGGCUCAACCGGGGAGGGUCAUUGGAAACUGGGAGACUUGAGUGCAGAAGAGGAGAGUGGAAUUCCAUGUGUAGCGGUGAAAUGCGUAGAUAUAUGGAGGAACACCAGUGGCGAAGGCGGAUCUAUGGUCUGUACCUGACGCUGAGGCUCGAAAGCGUGGGGAGCAAACAGG
rnacentral:rRNA from 1 species